AAAAACAAGUCAAAUACAUCUUGAACCCUCCCCCAAACUUAAAUUACACAGUCCCUUGUGUAAUCAAAAUUUGUGAAAGAAUUCAAGAUAAACACAGAAACAAAAACAAAAGCGGUAUUUAAAAAGGGUUUUCGUGUGUUACCUCAGUAGAAUGUCCUAGAGAUGUAGUCAUCCAUAUCUGCUUGAGUGUACUCAGCAGGCAUGACCAGUUCUUGAUGUGGCUCCGCCAUCUCCUCGUCAUUGUGCUCGAUCGCAACCCCAACAGGUUGUGCAGCACGAUGCUCAUGUGUUCUCCGACCCGACAUUAUCCGACCCUUGCUUGAUGAUCGGACCAUCCUAGCGCUCUUCCGCCUCUUGUGCUCCCAGACCUCGUGAGACGAGUAUCGUGCGGGUUCUUGCGGGAUAGCGCGUUCUCUCUGUUGAUAAGCAGAUUGCCUUGGCUGGGCAAUGUCAUGACGCCUGGGUGGCAUGUCUUCUGGCGGGUUGUCUCUGGUGAUUGCACUGGUGGAUGUGGUGCAACUGAUUACCUUCUGCAUGUUGUCAAUGGCCUUGACACACUUAUGGAUGAUCUUGUCUUGAAACUUGCACCACCUUUGGGUUAGACUGAGCUUCCGGUGUGCUUCGGCGAGACUCUUGCUUUCUCGUGAAGGGGGCUUGUGUUCUUCAAAGUGGUAGCGGCUCGUGUCAUAGUUCUCCUAGUUGGUCUCCUCAUUGUCACUCUGACCUUCUACUUCUUCAACAUUCCGGGACGCGGAUCCUCCAAUCACAGCAUGGAGGAUUUCUUGUGGUGGCGAGAAGUCGAUGUUGUCUCUCACUGUGAUGGUUGUCAUUUCACUGAAUGGGAGAAGAAUAGUGGCUUCUCUUGUUGACGGGUGAUCAAACUUGAAAGCGUACCUCCCAUCAUAGACAUUAUACUCGAUCACAUGGGCAAGCUUGAUAAAUGGGCGAUAUCCAUCCAACGUGGUUGGAUCGGAUCUGGUCGCAGCGGGACAUCGCACGAUAGGAGGAUUGGUGUGACCACUCCUCCAAUGCAAAGGGCUCCUUUCGCGUUCUUCUUGUCAUUGGCCAACGCCCACCCUCUUUAGCUGCAUAAGUGAUUGAGAAGAUAUAUUGACGGAGGUGUGUCAUUGGUAUCUCCCUUCAUCGUUUUCCUAUCCUUGGUGUAACGGAGGAAACUUAGCAGCGCCAGGUCUAACGUCUCCAUGUCUUGGUUCGUCAUAGUGGCGGAUAUCUCCCUAACGUAAGAGACAUUGGCCAUGGCUCUCUGGAAAUAGCGAAUGGCGGGAUUGCGGAUGGAGUUGCUCUUGGAUCUAGCGGAGUUGAAGCUGGUGGUGGCUCCGAUCGUGUUCUACAAAGAUUUUAAUUCUUCUUGGGCAAACCUCGGUUUCGUUCCCGUUCCACUAGGAAACCCAAACAUGGAUUCCAGCGUCUUGAUCGCCAUCAUAUAAUCGCGGUCGUCGAUGGUGAAGCUUAAGUAACCAAGCCCUUCUUCUCUUAACUCAGCAGCUGGCAACCCCUCAAACAAUUCCACUUGAAGUGAUGAAAGGAAUUGAAAUGUCUCAUCCUCAUAGGUAGGAUAGGGAUGAGACAUGAGUGUUGUCAUGUGGCAUUUCUCGAACAAGAGCUGAACGUCUUCCAGGAUGCCUAACUCCGCCAUUGUCUCCGGGUGAGGAUAUCUGUAACGACCGCGUCUCGCGUUCAUAAAGAGGCAGGUUUGUCUUAGGAGAAAACUAGAUCAUGGUCGAGGAACGGAACAAAAUACUAAGUAGGAAGAACGAGAAAGUAUAAGCUAAACCAGCUAGGUGAGCUGGACAAGCUGUAUGAACUAGCUAGGUAAGCUAUGUGAGCUAAACCAGCUGGAAGACUAGCUAGCUCAGCUAGGUGAGCUGACCGACAGCUCGACUGAGCUCGGUGAGCUGAUCAAGUACUAACCCAGCUGGGUGGUCCGGUCAGCUGACACUCGAGCUGGUGGACUGUGGUAGCUCACGGGUGAAGAGGUGUCUCGGCCAAAAGGUGUCUCGGCCAAAAGGUGUAAGGUCGAGCGGGUACCAAUGAACGGUUGCAUCGCCCAAAGGAUGCAAGGAACAGAUGUGACAUUUCGAAAGGAUGCAAGGAACGGAUGUGACCUUUCGGAGGGGUGCAAGGAACGGAUGUGAUGCUUCGGGAAGCAUCCAUUCGCCCCCUAUAUAAGGGAGGACGCCCAAGGCAUCUCACAUCAUCUCAUAACAUCCAAAACACCAUAAAACAUUCUUAAAGGAGUCCCAACACAUCCUAGAGUUGUUGGUCGGAAAGGGGGUGCGGCUCAGCGAGUAUAACUCGACCGAACUGAUGCGCAUGCUACCUUCCGGUCCAACGGUUCGAUGGAGUGUAGAGGAUGGAGAGGGUAGACCGUUUGUCUUAGAGACGAAUCGGAUCUGGUAGACCGAUCGUUGGAUCGGAUCGGCCAGACCGAUCGUUGGAUCGGAUCGGCCAGACCGAUCGUCAGACGGAUCGGCCAGACCGAUCGUCAGACGGAUCGGAUCGGCCAGACGGAUCGGACAGACCGAUCGUCGGACGGGUCAGAUGGGACAGGCUGAUCAUCUGACGGAACGGGUCCGACAGACCGAUCGUCGGAUGGGAUGGAUCGAUAAAAGUGUUCGAGGAAGCACAAGGAUAAGUGCAUUCGAACACACCCAAAGGUCGCCCAUGGAUGCAAUCUUACCGAUAAAGGGAGAAAGCACCAAGAAUGGGUAAGGAACGUGAUUCACCAUAUAGGAUCAACAUCGCGGCCGCCUUCAUGUAUCUAUCUCCUCAGCCAUGGUGAAACCGAUCAGAGAUCAGUAAGACCAAAGGGUGACUCGAUGGAUAA
rnacentral:sRNA from 1 species